UCCAGCCUGCCCAGUGACCUAGUUCAACGGCCGCGGUAUCCUAACCGUGCGAAGGUAGCGUAAUCACUUGUCUUCUAAAUAAAGACUAGUAUGAAAGGCAUCACGAGGAUUAAACUGUCUCCCUUUUCCAAUCAGUGAACCUAAUCUCCCCGUGAAGAAGCGGGAAUUUUUAGAUAAGACGAGAAGACCCUAUGGAGCUUCAAACACUAUAACACCUGCUACACGUACACACAAAUGUUCCAGCAUGAUGAUUAUACGUUUUUGGUUGGGGUGACCGCGGAGAAAAAACAACCCUCCACGAUGACUUAAGGACUCCUCCUAAACAACAAGCUACAGCUUUAUGUAUCAGUAAACUGACACUAUUGACCCAAUAUAUUGAUCAACGAACCAAGUUACCCUAGGGAUAACAGCGCAAUCCACUUCAAGAGCCCCUAUCGACAAGUGGGCUUACGACCUCGAUGUUGGAUCAGGGUAUCCCAGUGGUGCAGCCGCUAUCAUAUAUAGGUUCGUUUGUUCAACGAUUAAAACCCU
rnacentral:rRNA from 1 species